CUCUAGAAAUGCUCCAUAUGAAUUCUCCCUCUGCCCCCUAUCAACAACCAAUCCCACAAUUCUGGAAAAAAGAGUCUGUCGUGGAACCAUUGGGGGACUGCCAUUUAGGUGAUGGGCCACAAUUACAAGGCCUUCUAGAAACUGCGCCACAAGAUUAUGCAGGCCGGAGAAGAUGCUCAAAGACAAGGAACAAGUGGUCUGUGCACUUAAUGCAUUGCCAAGAAAAAGAAAAAGAAAAAAAAGAGGAGGCAGAUUUGCAUAAAUACAGCGGUACCUCGGGUUACAGACGCUUCAGGUUACAGACUCCACUAACCCAGAAAUAGUAACUUGGGUUAAGAACUUUACUUCAGGACGAGAACAGAAAUUGUGUGGUGGUGGCGGGGUGGCAGCAGGAGGCCCCAUUAGCUAAAGUGGUACCUCAGGUUAAGAACAGUUUCAGGUUAAGAACUGACCCCCAGAACGAAUUAAGUUCUUAACCCGAGGUACCACUGUAUGUUGAUUUAAAUGUCUAGGUGACAUUUAGUAUUACUAACAGGCAGAGGGCCUUCUCGGUAGUGGCGCCCUCCCACCAGAUGUCAAGACUAUCUGACUUUUAGAAGACAUCUGAAGGCAGCCCUGUUGAGGGAAGUUUUAAAUGUUUGAUCUUUUAUUAUGUUUUUAAUAUCCUGUUGGAAGCCGCCCAGAGUAGCUGGGGAGACCUACCCAGAUGGGUGGGGUAUAAGUAAUAUAUUAUUAUUAUUAAUAAUAAUAAUUCAGGUGAUCUCUGUGGUUGUUUUGUCUGCUGUUCAGGUGUGAAGUCAUGAUGGGCAACUUCAAUUCCCCUCUGCUCUCCCUUCUUGUGACUCUUUAGCAUUAAACAGGCCAGACAGGCCUCCAAGUUGAGGAAUCCCCUUGGUGAAGUAGGGCACUCUAGGAAAACAGUAGAAGAGUCAUACAUAAUGGACAUCAACAUCUCCACAGAGCAGGACCCAGAAGGUGGAUAAUGGAUG